rnacentral:lncRNA from 1 species
GACAAACUUAACUAGACUAUGACAGACUCUAGCAUCAACUAAAUGACUGAAUACUACUGUACAAGACUAGAAAGUAAAACAUGAACAAUAGAUUCAAAAACAUAAAAGGCUCCUCAGGCAGCUCCUGAAUGCAGUGGUCCCGGGGUAUCUGUCAUGCUCAAACUCCGGUAAGUAGAUCCACACCUGUAUGAGAAAACUGAAACCAACACUAUGUGAGACAUUAACAUUCCCUACUAAACACAUGCAAGACUUGGUUGUGACUAUUUUUCUAAAAUUAACCUACGUGGCUAAAAGUAGCUAAAAAUGCACGAUCUGGCUAAGACCCCGCAAAGCCAAGAACCUAAACUUACUAGGAAGACCGGACCCUAUGUGAGUUGCCUAUAUAUCCCGCCCCGAGAUACGAGAAUCAGGUUCACGUAGUUCGAGCAAAUUGAAUACGGGUGAGAAUUAAAAAAAUAAUUGAUUUGGAGAAAAUAUAUUUUUUGUCUUUUGUUUUGAAAAAUGAUGAAAAUGUAAGCUCUUUUUGGAUUUUCUUUUUCCUCUUUUUUUUCUUGAUUUUUGGAAAAUGAUGGGAAAGUGCAAAAUAUUUUUGAAUUUUUCAUUUUUUUCUUUAAAACAAAAUGUGAAAGAAAAUAUAACUGGGCCCUACUUGCUUUAGUUUCACACUUCACCCUCUCUUUUUUUCCAUUUUUUUUCUUUUUCAUUUGCCUCAACUAUCAUUGGUCCGCCAAAUGACUCUUUUACCCUUGAAAAUUGCAACAUGUAGCACAUAGGAUGCAUCAGGAUGGCCUUUUAUUUUUGGGCACACCUGUCCUAGACGGACCCAACCCCUGUGUUGAGUCUCCAAAGUCAGAUGCACGUGAUGCAAACAAACGUUCCUACUAGGGAUCCGACAUGAGGCUGAGUUAUUCUAAGUUCAAAACCUGGGUAUGUUGUUCUAGACUUGUGUACCCGAGCAGACAACUCGAGCAGGGGGGGGACUGCGUACCGGGAACCAAAAGGCCAUUCGGCUUUGUAACUUGUCCGAGCCUCUUCCUAAUUUAAGGUAUGACACUAACAGAAGAGGAGUCACGCCAGCGUGCACAUCCCCGGAGAUGAGAAGAGAUGGGUUUCGUAGCAGUUUAUAUACAGUUCAAAUAGUAUCAAAGCGGUGAAAAGCAACAUUUAGCACAUUUGGCCAAAACAUGUAGAAAAUCAGAUAAUGAAAAAAAGCCAACUAUAACAGUUAUUCUAAGCUCAAAUUCUGAACCCUGAACCAGAAGUUCUGGGUUCUUUUCACCAGCAGAGUCGCCAGAGUUGUUACACCUCCUUUUUACCACCCCCGAAAGGGGUAUAAGGGAGUUUUUUCCAAUUUAAGUGACAAUCGAAACGAGAUUAUUUUAUUUAAAAUCAAAGUCGCCACUUGGGAUAAUUUAUGGUGUCCCAAGUCACCGGUUUUAAAUCCCGAAUUGAGAAAAGAUUGACUUUGUUUUACAGUCCGCGAACACAGAAAUCCAGAUAAGGAAUUUUGUUAGCCUGGGAGAUGGUGUUAGGCAUUCUCGGGUUCCGUGGUUCUUGCACGGUCGCUCAAUUGUUAUUAUUGGCCUAUUUAUUUGAUUUUAAAAUAUUUUUGAAACCUAUGUGCAUUUUUAUUCCUUUUAAACCGCUUUUAAUAAACCAAUCAUUGUACAACUAAUUAUUUGAUUACACGUUGCGAAUCAUGUCAUGGGAACCGUACCCACGAUCCACAAUAUGUUUAUUUUAUUAACAAGAUUAAAUUGUGGACGGGUCACAUAAAUGUACCCCCGAGUUUUUUAGAAAUUAAGUGUCAUGACCACGUCACGGGAACCGUACCCGUGGCUAUGACAAUUAUUUAAUUAACACGCCUGAAGCAAAUUACGAAAGUUCAAGGCAUUUUUUUUACGAUAAUUAAUACGAGAGCCAUAGAUUAUAUGAUUCAAAUGUAUGAAUGACACGCCUCAAAUCUAUUCAACUAAAUGAACUAUGAAUAUUCAUAUUUAAAAACUAAUUAGGUAUCACAACCACGCCACGGGAACCGUACCCGUAGUUGUGAUGGUUUUACUACGCGCCAAAAGCAAGCUACGAUGUUUAUGAACAUUAACGACCUAAUUAUGUUACUAACGAGUGAUUAAGUAAAAGAAAGAGUAAAAGUAAAAGAGAAUCAAGUAGGAAAAAUUCAAAGCACGCUCAGUUUCUGUUAAUUUUUAUUUCAUGUAUCUAAACCAAACUCAACUCCUAAAUAAAUGAGCAAAUUAACACUAAAUGAUCCAAGUCUUUAUCCCAAACCCAUGGCCCAGUUCUUAAAUUUCAUAUCACUAAUUUAUCAUACUCCAAUUCCUUAUCAACCAACAAACAAGAAUUAUCACCCAAUCAUUCCAAACUAGAUGACGAGAUUCAGGCAUCAACAUACUCAACAACAAAUAUCGUAUUCAACACAUGUAAUUUCAGAUUCAUAUUAUUAAAUCAAGUGAUAAACUAGAAGAAACGAGAGGUAAAUAGCAAGAUAAACAAGACUAGACCAAUUUAUUUCAACCAAGCCAUGGAUGGACAUGUAAGAGCAGUAAAAUCAGAAAGAUAAUUUAUAAGAAUUGACCUCAGUGUCAAAAUACUUUAAAGCUGAUUAACGAAGACAAAACCCAGUAACGAAACGCGAUCGUGACUUCGAUCGACGACCUCGAUAGAACUUUGCUGAACUUUAACCGGACUGCCUCGCUUUUCCUCCGUCUAUCUCUCACUCUAUUUCAAUGACCUCUUGUUGCUGCUCUAUCCAUGUGUGUCUGUGGUCAUGGGAGGUUGUUGAAGGAGGUCGCUGAUGUUAUGGGUUGUUUUCCGGCGAACUUGGUUGAGUUACUGGCGUGAGGAAGAGGAUGGGUGGGGAUUUUUUUGGUUGGUGAAGGUUCAAAGUCGAUGGUUGUUGUGUGUUCGACGUGAGCGGUGGUCGCUUGUAUGAGGGUGACGACGGCUCUCUAGGUUAUGAGUGUGUGUAUGGAGAUGGAGAUGAGAUUUUGGAGAUGGAGAUGGAGAUGAACGGUGGUCGCGUGUGUGUACGGUUGUCCCCUCUCAUGGAAACGGCUAAUUAUCCUAGGGAUAUUAGAGUCUAAUUGUUUUAUAGGGUUUUUUUUAGGUUAGG